GGUCGUAUCAGAGUAGAUUGGGAAACUCAUCAAAAAUUAUGAAAUACCGAGACACGCUUUCCGUUCCAAUGGCGGGCCACAACCUUUCGAGGUAUGCUUUGCACGGUGGAUUACAAAGGAGCGGAGGCCCUCAAAUCCUGUCUUUCGGAGUUUCAUCGCAUCCUUUGAUACGACCCCUUAU
rfam:Barnesiella viscericola DSM 18177, complete genome.